CUGGGUAUGUUUUCUAACGGCAUCAAUGACAUUUUGGGGAUCCUUAUGGAAGAUUAUAUCUGUACAAAUCUUAACAACAAGGUGUCAGGCUGGUGGAGAGAUGACCAGGUUGUUGCAUUGACACGGCUGGAGUCAUGGUGAGGCUAGUGGAGUGAUGCAGCUGGUGGAGCAAUGGAGAGGCUGGUGGAGCUUGCCAUUCCUGUAAGCGGCGGAGUGAUGACGGAGCUGGUUAGUGGGGAUAUUGACGAUGAAGCAGAUAUGUUGACCCUGGUCCUGGGGAUCCACAUACCUAUAGAAGCUGAAGUCAAGCACAUCCAUGGCAUUUUGGAUAUGCAUGAGGGAGUCACUGGUCCUGGUACGGAACAGCUCCUCGAUUUGCCGGACUAGGUCAAAGGCCUCUUGCGACGGCCGACAAAGCGCACCAGGCUUGAAUUCCUUCAGCUUCAGUAAAGUACUGUGCUCUCCUUCAGAGAGCGCAGGUCUCUGUUUUAGUGAGGUCAGGUGCAGGACUGCGCUCCAUCAGCUCCUCCACACGCAGGGCAGGACUGGAAAUUGACUUCAGUGCUUGGUGAAACUCCACGGCAGUUGGGACUGGAUUCCUCUGUCGGAUGCAGCCAAAUAGGUUUUCCAGACAGUCUUGGGUAAACCUGCUGGUCAACACAAACAAGUGUCCCUGUGACAGCAUGUCUUCUUGGAUGGACAGUAUUGUAGAUGUUGCCAUCACAAUCCCUGUUUGUACAGGCUUCCAGCUACUCGGUUGUCCAAUCUUCAGCCCACGGAACAGUUGGAUCGUGUCCUGGAGGAACUUGAUGGCCUUUUGGUACUCCUCCAUCUUGUGCCUGCUCAGUGCCAUUACUGGGUGGCGAGAGGACAUGAGAUCAAACCAGUGGUCUACCUGCUCCAGGAGCCAUGCUGUUGUCCGGUAAGAGUGGACCGACUGAAGCUUCAUUGGAGGGGAGGUUCUCCCUCUCUACCAUAUCUGGUGGGAUUGGGAACGUCUGUCCGCGGACCAGGGCACUCUUCAAGUUCUUCACCAGGUCUGGGACAUCUGGCAUGAAGUAUAGCCUCCUGUCUGGUCUUGUUGGAUGUGGGACAGACGUGGUCCACUCCAAAGGCCUUCCACAUUGCCCGAUUAGGGCUGCCCAUGUCAGUGGUGACCUUAAUCACAUGUAGCCCGAUGGAAUCUGCUCUGUGAAUAAUGUCCAAGACAAUAGGUAACGUCACAUCCCCAUACAGCUUCCUUGUUCCCAGGUGCAGCUCCACGCUUGGUGUGAUUGACAUCUCAUCGAGGUUCUGAUGUCGGGGAGAGGAAUCAACAUGUCCUGUAGAAGUUUGUAGCCUGUUGAGCCAGUAGCAAAACGGACUUGAAUAGCCUUUUUAAGGAUCAGGGGACUCAGUUGGCUGAGUGGUUAGGAAAUCGGACUAGUAACCUGAAGGUUGCCAGUUCGAUUCCCGGCCGUGUCAAAUGACGUUGUGUCCUUGGGCAAGGCACUUCACCCUACUUGCUUCGGGGGGAAUGUCCCUGUACUUACUGUAAGUCGCUCUGGAUAAGAGCGUCUGCUAAAUGACUAAAUGUAAGGAUGUCAUUUCCCCAUCGUAUGCUUCUCUUUAGACCGCUCGAUUUUAUCUGAUCUUUUGAUAACAUUGUUCCAAAUUUAUUUUCCAUUAUUAUUAUUUUUUUCCGUAGGACCACAUUCAUUCUUUUUUGACAAUUUAGGGCUGCCUGUAACCUUGUAAAAUUUGUUUUGUUAACUCCUCCCUCAGGUCUUUAUCACUGUACCCUGGCUCACUUGGACACUGGGCACAGGAUCCUGUCUCACUGGGGCACUGGAACCUGGCUCACUUGGACACUGGACUGGCUCAUUGGCUGCUGGACCCUUCCUCUUCUUGGGCUCAGGACGAUGCAGAAAUAUGCUGGGAACAGCAUCAGCCUUCAAUUUCAGUUGGCCUUUUUUUGUUUUUGUGAAUUGGUCUCCCUCAAAAUGUGUCUGCGAUGAUAUUGGCACAAUGGCUUGAGUUUAAUUUCCACAUGCAUUCCAGACUCACCCCAUAAUUGUCAAUCCCAAUUUCAUUAUAGUCAUGUACAUAUUACAGUAAACAUAUUGGUCCUUGAUCCACAAGUGAAAUGUAUAAAGACAACUUAAACUCACACCACACAGUUUUCUAUUAUUGAAUUUUCUUGCGAUGGUCAGGUGCCUUCUGCCAACUUGCGCCAUCCAUUUUUUUCUCCUGUUUGUAUCUUUUGGAAAACCAUACAUCCGGAUCCCUUUCUCAGACCGAUUGGAGCAUCCAAAUGCUGCACAGCCAACCAUAAUCUCCUUGUCUUAUAGAAUCAUAUGAAGUGCAGGAGCUCAUUAAUUUGACAUUUUAUACUGUAUUUCAACCACUAUAAUGAUUGUGUGUGUGUUUGUGUGUGCCUAGUCUGAGGUUUGUGAACAGCAAACAUUUAGAUCACCGGAUCACUACAAACAAAAGGAGUGGAAGAACACUGGACAUAUUGUACAAUAAAAUGUUUUAUUGAAUGCAA